CUAUACUAACAUCCCGGUCAGCGCCACUGCAACUUAUAACACCGUUGCCGCCUCCGCCACUAUACUGACAUCUCGGUUGCGCCAUGGGAAUAAUUAAAAUAAAACAGCAAAAAUUGUCAACAAAUUAAAUGGCAUACUACUGGUAAAUUCACUAGACUGUCUGUGAUUGACAACGGCUCCUGUCUUGUCGACUUAAUACUUGGCGCAAAAACACAUCGUGUAGCAAAUAAGCAAAACCGGCCAAGACCAUGUUGGGCCAUGCUCAGUAUAGGGUUCCGUAGUUUCCCUACGACUAAGAAAAAAUUUUCAAGAAAAAAAAUAUAUUUUGAAAGUAACAAAUAGUAACGUGUAAGUGCUAACUGUCACUGAGAUUAACCGCGGAGGAACGGACGGACAGACAGACAGACAAGGUGAAAUUUCUAAAUUCAGGAUUAUUUUUUACUACGGAAUCCUAACAAAUGAAAUUAUGUAAUUUGUUUUACCUAAACUAUUGGAUAUAUUAAUAUUAAUAUUUAAAAUUACUUAAUUUAAAAUUACUCUUUAUAAAUAUGUAAUAUUUAGUCUGGAAGCCGACCCCAACAUAGUUGGGAAAAGGUUUGGCAGAUGAUGUAGACCGAGCAUGUAGACUUGUAGACGUGCGUAUAGAGGUAUGCAAAGUUUAAUUUAUUGUCGUAUUGUCAAACAUUAUAUGUGGCCCAUAGGAAGAUCUGUCAUCCGCUAGGCGUUCAACAGGCGAAACAACUUUGGCGAAAGCACUUAAUAUUAAUAAUAUAAUAUACUUAUUAUAAAUGUAGUCCAUAAGUAGUAUUAGAGAGGAAACAUUCUUUUGUUUGCGAACAAAAAAUGUUUCUUCUUUAUUAUAUUAGUAUAGAUAGAUCAUAGGUAGAUAUAACUUUACAUUUUUCGUUUUCUUAACCUCCUGGGGAUGGAGGUUUUGUGCUUCGUUUUAAUCACUUAUGUUGUAGUAUUACCGUAAGGUAAACCAUUAGUAUUAAACGUUUUUUUGCACUGUAACUAGGCUAGGUAGUAUUUAAUCUAAAUUAAAAACUAGAGAUGGGAAUUUGGGUGCAAAGUAAUUGUUAUUACUAACAUGGAUAUCACUUAGACAGCUCCAUCGGUCUGGGGGUCCAGGGGUCCAGGGGGUCUCGGCUUCGAAUCGGGGUCGCAAUUGCUUUGAGGACUUUGAAAAACUUUCGCGAAGCAGCCCGUACUGGUAGUUGGUGAUACACCCGUGCAUCGGAGAGCACGUAAAUGUCGGUCCUGCGCCUGAUCUCCCUACGUUCGUGUCGGAUUACCUGAUCAUUGGACAAUGGGAGUGAGGGAAUAGAGAGUGCACCUGUAUCUGCGCAAACGCCGGCCGAAAUUCGACCUGGCGGACCUUAUUACUUGGAAAUUCCGGUAUUUUAACCUUCCCGUCUGGGAGUACUCUCGAAGUCUUAACAUGGGACCAUUAUUACCUAGAUAACAGGUUGAGGAGGUCCGAUUUGCAAUCGCUUCUUGUAAAAUAAUGUUGCCCAGCUGCUUGGGUAAGACUGACAGCCUUCCCAACACGGCCGUUCCCAAUAUUCUAUACAUCUGCUGUGUGCUUACUAAGAAUAGGAAUUUUACUUUACUCGAAUAGGGUCAAUGUCAAAAUACUGUCUUUAGUAACUUCAUUCACAUAUAGGUUAUCGGGAACGGUCGUAAGAUGACUUAGAAUUGCGGAAUUUUCAAGUCAUAUCGGUGUUAUUAAUAACGAUCGCACACAGAUUCCGAUGUCUAUUACGAACCUUGGGAAGGUAUAUCUUAUCACUAAGAGCCGACCUAAAGGUGGAGUAUGGAAAAUCGGCAGGGUCCCGAGAAGAAUUAGGCUAGGGUAGUCGUAAGUCGUAACAUAGGAAUGUAGUAGUAGGGUUAGGAACGUAAGGUGAAUGGGUGAUUUUUGACGCUUCAAUGAGUAGUGUGUGCAUAUGUAUAUACUAAAGGUACGUUUUGAAUUCUUGCAGCCGAAUGUGCAGUCGCUGACAGAUAUCUGACAUCGAGAUCUGUCAGCGACUGCACAUGCUGCUGCCGCUUUGCUACAAAGCGGUCUCAUGUAAAUACAUACAAAACUGUAAAGCAGAUGCAAUAAUUCAAAACGUACCUUUUGCUUCCACUGGCAGUGGGAAAUUCGAAAUAAAAUGGUUUUAUGAAGUUUUACCUAAGUUAACAGUAGAUAUGAGGUGUCAUCUUAUAAUUCAAAAUUAUUUUUGAUGUUUGUAAUUGUUUAAUGUCAUAGGUUAGGCUUUCACAAAAACAAAUACAAUUUUAAAGUUUUAUAUAUUCAUUGUAGAAACAAUAAUAAUAAAUUUGGAAAUAUCGAAAUAUUUUUGGCCACAAAAGUGCUGCAAUUUCCCCAAAACUAAACAAAUUUAAAAAAAGCGACAACUUAAAUCUUUGGCGGUUUUUAUGUAAGAUAUUUUAAAUCAGUAAACAAUUUACUAGAGAUGCACUCUCUUUUGCUUUAUUAAAUAUCAAUUUGACAAUGUUUUCUUAAAGGUUUGUUUAAAUCUAUUGCGCAUGAUAAGAUGCCUUACCUGUAUCUACGUUAACUUAAUAUCAAAACAACAUUUUAGUUUUGCAUUUUCUGGUGACAGUCGAAGCAUUCACUUUAUAUUACUUAGGUAUAUCUACAAAAUUUUAAACAUUGAGACUGUUCUUUGAUAAGGUAUCUACAAAAUUACACGGUCUCAAAUUACUUCUGGACGAUUUAAUGUAUGUUCAAGUUUAAAUAAAUGUAAGUAUUCCUAUUUAGUAAGUAAUGUUUUUCUGAUUCGGUAAAUAUGUUCUGCUUACAAGCGCACCGAAUGUAAUAUGCCUACCUAUAUAAUAUGUGUCUUACUCUUCUCUACGAGUCACCAUCUUAGCUAACAUUUGAUCAAUGUGUUAGGUACUUGCUACACAAAAAUAUCUUUAAAUAAAAUUAUCAAUUUCUCAAAUAAAAUCUAAAAACUCAUUGAUGAUUAUGAAAUCAGCUGAAAUUCUAAAAUGUGUGUUACAGUAAAUAGCUCCAACUCGUAGAUAUAGGGCAGUAAUUGUAGAUUUUGUAAGUAUACGGCCAUCACCAAGAUGCCUUUGUUAUAAUUUAUCCAAACAUGCUUUACUUUGACAAGUAAGCAACUAAGUGCAUAUAUAUUGUCGCUUUUUGCUUCUAAAUUGAUAAUCGUAUUAAGUUGUAAAGCCCUGUAUCGCGACGCUCCACGAAUUAUGUUUAGUUUCCGCCAUCGCACUUAGAUCUGGUUAAAUCAUAAUGCUCUAGUAUGUAAGUGGCUCGUCAGCCGACCCCUACUUUGUAAUUCACUUAUACUAGCUUGUAAGUUUGUCUGAAUUCUUAACUGACUGCAGUUGUAUAUUGGUCUCUGCAUAGUUUGUAAGUUAAAAAACUUGUGUGGACUUGUCUUUGAUGUGAUUCCUUUUUAAUAUGUAGUUCAUAAGAUGUUCUUUCUUAUUAAUAGGUAGUUCUUAAGAUAUAAUGCUUUCCUAAAAGUCUAAAUAAGUGAUAAUUCUCAAAGAGUCCUGGAUACCAUACACGGUGUUACAAAAGUAGUCUAAGAAUUUUAAUAAAUUACCAUAACCAAAAACAUCGGCAGCCCUUGCAAAAUGUCGCACUAAAAGGGGUAACACUUAAAUUCUAAACCGUUUCUCUAAAGUAAAUGUUUUUAGAAAAAUAAAUUAUUCAUUUGAGUUUCCUAGAAGUCUAGGUUAAAUACAAAUUACAACUAAAAACGUGGGGUACGAGUUAUUUUAUUUACUCUAUGAUUUUCUUGAGCGAGGGCUAUUUCGCGGUAAGUUCAAACUGUUAUUACCUAGGUACGAUUUAAAAACAUGGUUAAUUGAAUAUUUAUAACGAACUAUUUAACCCCCUUUCGGCUGUAAGGGUACUUUUGUAACACCCUGUAUUUUUACUUCUAAAAUAAUAGUGAUAUUACUUUUGCCAAAGGCGGGCAUUUUUGUUUCUAUUUAUUAACUAAGUGUUGAUUAAAAUUAAAACAGUUACGUUUGUUAUGAUUUCAAAAAUCAUGUCUAGAUACCUACUAUUUUGGUGCAAAAAUGUAAAAAAAGUACUUUUAAUUAUAUAAAAAUUAUGUCUGGCA
rnacentral:lncRNA from 1 species